rnacentral:rRNA from 1 species
UUUGGAAGAAGUCGUCGAAGGUGGAAUCAAUAACUGGGGUGAAGUCGUAACAAGGUAGCCGUAUCGGAAGGUGCGGCUGGAUCACCUCCUUU